ensembl:lncRNA
CUUGCCAUGUAGUCCAGGUCAGUCUUAAGUUCAUGUCUCUGUGGUAAGAGCACCUUUGCCAGAAAGGUGAGAUAGUCAGUACUGAGACAGAAGUUGUCUGUCCACCUGUCUCCCAUGGGUGCUGUGACCCUGAGUUCCUCCUGACCCCUGUUCUCCAUUCCAGGGGUGCCUAUUAUUCUCUUUGACUAUACGAAAAGCAGGGUGUCUGGUCAUAGUGGACACAGAUGGAUUUGGGGAGUGUGAGAGAGUGUGUGUGUGUGUGUGUGUGUGUGUGUGUGUGUGUGUGUGUGUGUGCCUGUGAGUGGGCUGGGGCUCACCAGCAGACCAGGGCACAGGAUGGGAGCUUCUGGAUGAAGUGGGUCAAGUCCCGAGUCAGCCCAGAGGAAGCUUCAACCAGACUCCAGUCAGCCUGCACAGUUGGAGCAGCAGUCGUGGUUGUACUCACUGAGGAGCCCAGAGCAGUGCCAGAAAGAGUAAGUAAUAGCAGAGGACCGCAGGGUUCCGUGGGAGGUGGAGGAAGCCAGGGAUGUUCAAUCAGAGCCAGCCUUAGAGUAUGAGAUGGGAGGAAAAUGCAAGAGGGGGUAUCUUUGUGUCUGUCUCUCCCUGGCCUCUACCCACUAUUUGAUGCCCAUAUUUAUAUCCCUGUGCCUUGAACCCUGUCAUCGUGAAGCCAUGGCCAGGGGCUAGAAAUCCCAAAUAGAGCAACCACAGGUGAGCACAAGGACCAAGGUGGCCAACAGCAUGCCCUGUGGUAUAUGCAUGGUGUGUGUCCAAUGUCCCAAAGCAAGCCUGGACAUCAGUGGCCAUGUCAGGGAGAUGGGGAGAGGAUCCUAGGUUCAUAGACUCACAGAGGGAGGCAAGAAGUGCAGGCAGCAAGGGUUUAGACAAGAUGCAAACCCUGCUUCUACUUACAGGUACUCUCUUGGUGUACCCUGGAGAGCUGUGGAAUACACAAGCCCGGGCCUCAGACAACAGAGAUUGAAGGACACUUCAGGCUUCUGGUCCGUAUGCCACUCCCAGAGAACUGAAUAACCUUCCUUGUUCUCAGUCUUCUCCAGGUGCUGGAAUUGCAGGUCUGGCUAAGAAUCUGAGCAAAAUCCUUCCAUGAUCAAGAUUGGGCUCAGCAUAUUUCGAAGCCCUUUUGCAAUCACCCCCAGGAGUUUCUCCCCUUCUUUUCUAAGCCAAUGGCCAUCUGACUGCAAACAGAUGGCGAGCGUGUGCUGGUGCUGCUGAUUCCUGGAUGCCAUGGAAUGGUUUGCAAGGUAAAAAUCUUCCACCUGCUCCUGUAUGGAGUUCUAUCAGGCAGGUCUGGGUGACAUUGCAGGUAUCCAGUGCAGGUGGCUUUCUCCAUGGAUGUAGAAGCUUGGUCCUAGGACCUGGACAAAGAAAUGCUGAGAUGCUGACGUAGUAUCCACAGCUUCCUUGGGCACCUCACUCUUCAUCUAAGCACCCUCGUGGAGGUUGGUACCUUCCACCCAUUAGCAUCUGGAUUUUACAUAGAAUGAAAAUGGAAUAUGAACAAUUUAAAAGGCAAUAUAUGGCAAAGAUCAUCAGGCAGCAAAGCCAUCUUUACAUGUCAGUUAGGGAGGGCAGGGGCUGGCUGGGACACCCAGAGGGUCUGCUGGUCCACACUGAUGGAUUAGAUCAUAACUCAAGUGUGGUAGCCCGGAAAUAAGGGGCUUCUUUCUUAUAAGCCUCUUACAUGGCUCAUUGCUUGGGUUCUGGGAGGCAGGACUACUGAAAUCCCAGUUUGGCCAUGUAUUAGUCGUGUGCCUUUGGGCAAGCCUCUCAACUUCCAUAACCUCAGUUUCCUUAUCUUUAAGGUAGAGGCUAUGGAAGCAUAAAUUGUAAACUAUUAUGUAUUGUUUAAAUGAUUUAAAUGAUAUAGUGUACUUAGCGAAUGUAGGUGCUAAAUAGAUGUUUGGCUGCUGUUGUUUUUCAAUUGUUUUAGUUUUUCCUUUGGUAAAAUAAGUAAAUCUCUGGUGCUUUCCGAAGAGGUGUCUGAAGUUCCAGGAGACGAGCCUGGAGAAAGAAGGCCCCAAGAAUACACACCAUCUCUCCUCCCUGUCCAGGUCUUCCUUCUGUAAAAACCUGUAUCAACUCACCUUCCAGUGUGACCAUUGACAUGGCACCAUGCUCUUCAACUGGUGGGGCAGAGCCCAGUGUGUUCUGGAUGGGAAGGUAAGUGACAUGUCCCUGUGGAGGUUCAGCCCUUCGUGAAACAGGACCCUGCUGGGCUGAGUGACAGCUUUGGAGAUGGGUACCAGCAUGGCUUAUCUCUGAGAUGGCCAUUCCUUGAAGUCUUGAGGCCAGGGCUUUGUUGCUCCUUGGCACGUCCUGGAGGCAGGGAAGGUGGCCUUCCAGGACCUCAGUCAAUAGCCCAGAGAGUGAGAAGGGGUUUUUCAUACACUCGCAUAGCAUAGCAUCCUGCUCCUUUAGUCCUCCAUCAUGGUCUUAGCGGGCUCAUGCCAGAUCUCAGGUAAAACGUUAGUGAGGGUUUUCUCUACAGGUUUGCAGGAGUGUGCCCAGCUGUGUGUGGGGGGCGGGAGGCACUCACCCACUCCUCUCUGCAGCCUUCUCCAGAACCUGUCCUGUGGACUGGCAGCCCGGGGCCUCUCAUAGGUCCUGUCUACAGGGGAACAUCUUCCAUCCUCCAGCUGGUGAGAAGCCCCUGUUAGCUCCAGGAUCCUGGGCUGAACCCUAAGCUAUGUUUUGAGUUAUAGUUGUGUCCUGUUAUCUGACCAUGAACAGGCCUUUCUUAUCCCAGGGCCUUCCUCAGUCUCCCUACCUGUCAGAGUCUCAGCAGCUGUCUCUUUUGUUCUUUGAACUAAUUGUAAUGAAUGAGCAUGAUAGAAAACUUGUAACAGGGGCCCAGAGCUCAUUUCCAUCACCUACAGCAUGAGUCCCCCAGCUAGCUGACCCCUAAUCAAAGCAUCCUGUGACCCAUGACUGCUGAUCAGACACAGGUGCCUGAGUACCUUGAGGCUUAGGGACUGUCACUGACAGAUGUUGGUGGCAGUCUGAGGUAUCUCUCACAGGGAUUGGGAGUCAUUUGGCUCACCAUCAGUGUUAGCAUGACACAACUGGAUAUAGCUGAUGAGAAGCAUCAGGAAGAUUCCUGGAGUCAUGGGCUGUAGCUUGAGGUUUUUUGUUGUUUGUUUCUUAACAGUGGGAGGUCUUCCUUCUGCUGGUGGACAGGCGGCCUAAACAAGAAGGAUCCAGGGAAGGGUGUUGUCCCUUCUGGGAUGACUUCUGAUAACCCACCUUCCAUGCUUUCUUUCUUCUAGGAUCAGUCUGUGGCCACCCCUGCUUACUCUUUCUGCCAUCUUUUCACCAAAUACCCCUUAUAGAUGAAUUUCAAAGCAACUGUGGUUUUCCAUGUUGGCCUCGUCAUCCUUUUCUUCAGCCUCUACUGGAAGACAUCCCCCCAAGGGACACUGGAGUAGGACCAGGGACAAAGACGGAUGGAGCUGUCCUCAUGGAGACUUGGGCAUAGCUGCUGACAGCAUAGCUCUCAGUAGACCGUCUCCCUCAGAGCUGCGGUUCAUCCAAUGAAAGAGGAGAAUCCCCUCCUCCUAGAGUUCAGGAGGAAUGCAGUGGACUCAGGCUUCAUACCCCCUGCUCAUGUGGCCUUAUAACUAUUUAUGUACCACUUGUCUCUACUAGCCAUAGUCCUUUAAUGGAAGGAACUGCCUUCUUUUUGGUGGUCACUGUACUUGGCACCCAUCUCAACAAAUGUGCCUCUAAGACUUGUAUUCUGCAACUUGUGGUCAUGGCCACUGGUAAAGAACAGGUCUGGGUGUGGACAAAGUCAAGAAUGUCUUGCUAUUUGACCUGCAGUGGGAAACUUGCUUGAUUUCCAAUGUAGCUAUGAACAGUUACCUCCUACUCCACAUACAUAGCUUUUCACUUACCACUCUCUGCUCAUGUGGCUUUGUGGUUGUAUGAUUCCAUAGUAUGCUAUUACGGUGAGAGAAAGGGACAUAUGCAUGGCUCAGAAUUGUGUUCUGUCAACUUGUAGAUUUUUCUGCUUUGUUCAAUUGUGUCUUCUAUAAAUAUCAGCAAAUAAAAUUAUCUAAGAUCUAUGAUUCUCCUGUCUCAGUGGGAGACACUAAGAACUCUGAAUGUAAAUAGUGCAAAAAGCUGCUAUAGAGGGAUGGUUGAUCUUUAUUUAGUUCACACAUAGAAGUCUCCUGAUGCCCCGCUUCCCACCCAGCAACGCCUGAGGCAGGUGGGAGAGCUGGCCCUGAGGUCAUAAGAGCUGCCCCUGUCUCUCACCAGCAGCAACACUAGGGAGAGCAGACCUGGUACCUCCCUGGGGCAGCACAAUAGAGCCACUCCUGCUGGUGAAGGUGUGGAUGAG